CUGUUUUUUUUGUGCCUCUGGUAUGCAAUUAUGUGCUUUCUGUCGCCUCUUGGUAUAUAGCUAUUUGGGUGGUGUUUAUCUCUGCAUUGGAUAAUUUGUGACUACGGAAGGUUUGGUUUUUUAGUGUUUAUUUGCCGAGUUGUGGUAAUUAUUGGAAUUGUUAGGCAGUCAUAGUCAACACUGUGUUUCUUUUAGACAUAUAUAAUAGAAAUUCUUAUAGUAGUUAACUUAAUGUAAUUAUAUCGGCUGUUGUAAUAAUGUUAACUUAAUGGAAAAAAGAGGUUGACUCCUACUUUCUCACGUGAAUNNNNNNNNNNNNNNNNNNNNNNNNNNUGCAUCUAUUCAAGGUCUAAUUAGUUUUUAUUUUUGGCUAGCUAGUUAUCUUUCUAAUUAGAACAUCUUGAUGAUUUAGGUUUCUCCUCUUCCUUUUAAAGUCAUUGAGAAAGUGUUAAAGGAUAAUCUCAAACCCGAUUUCUCUAAGAUGUAAGUUGCACUCACUAACUGAAUUUUGAUUUUAUGAACCCUCAAUCUUUCAUUGUUAUCUUAUAUGAGCUUGUUUCUGUUAAUAUUUUGGUAUAUUUUCUAUUCAUAUAUAUGGUUCCUUACUUAAAAUAGAGUUUCCUUGAAUCAAGCUAAUAAUUUCAAUUAUGUUUUAGGUUGUUUCAAGUGAUUUUAAUUUACUUUAAGGAAUUAGUGUCCGUAGAUUCUCUCUAUCCAUUGUCAAUUAAUUGAUAUUAGAGCUUUUGGUUGAUAGUUACUUUAUGUUUUUCCCCUUUCCUUUUUAUUCUAUUAUGUUAAUUAUUUUUGUUUUUGAUUAGUUUGUUCUCGAUUGCGAGACCGCGCCCUUCAAAGUUCAAACCCUCUGAGCGAAGUUGCUCCCCUUCAGUUUGUUCUUUUUUCUCUGCUCUGUGGCAAAUUUUCUGCUCUGUUAGACUAUAAUUUUCGCAGGUGUUUUGAUGGAGUUUGUGGCUGUCAAUAAUAAAUCAUGGUCUAAUGGACAUAGGUAUUUGAGUUGUUGGCCUCUGUUUUAGGCGCUAGAUCUUUCUUUUACAGGUUCAUUCAGCACCGUGGUGGAGAUCUUGUGUAUGGUGUGCAUAGCUUUGUCUGGUUGUUGCUAGUUCUUUGUAUCAAGUAAUCUUUAAGAUUCUUUUUAUUUCAGGUGUAAGGCGAAAGGCUUAUGUUAAGAUUCUUGCUUUGUUUCUUCUUUGGUUCCUGUUAUUGCAAGUUUCUGCUUGAAUCAAUUGAAAUGUUUAUAUUUUGAGGUGUUUUUGUGAUGCUCCCAGGGAUGNACAAGAAAAUUAAAGAACCAUUACACCUGGUUUAGACAUGAACAUAGAGGAGAAGGAGAGAUCUUGUAUAUGAUGAAUUUGUGAUGCUGCAAAGUCCAUACCGUGUUCAAUCAAUUUUUUC
rnacentral:lncRNA from 1 species